rnacentral:tRNA from 1 species
GCCAGUAUGGUUUAGUGGUUUGAGUGCUGGACUACAACUUUGGAGACCAGGAUUCAAAUCCCAGCUUGGGCA